CUCAGCCCAACCCCUUCGAUUCCCCUUCGACCCACCUGUUCCCACGUGGUUCAGAAUCAUCUCGCCCCCCUCGAGGAUUUGGCCGCCCUGACUCGAGACGACGCCGCGCCGCCUCCUCCCCCAAGACGUCGCGCCGCCUCCUCCCCCAAGAUGCCGCGUCGCCUGACUCGACGCCGGCGAUCUCCUCAGGCCUACUGGAUUUCUCACCGGUGGUUAGUCAUCGCAGCCCCUCCCCCCUCCUCUCUAUGGCCGCCACCACGCGCACGCCCUGCGUCCGCCUCAUCCUCACCGGCGAGCACGCCAAGAACGGCGUCCCCUACCCCAGCUCCACAUGGACCCUAACCCUAGGCCUACCCAGCUAGCUUGCCAAGAAUGCCCGCCUCCUCUAUCCUAUAUGUUUGUUUGUGCUACCGGGCUCUCCCCUCCCCUUCCUCUCCAUGGCUGCCACCGCCCGCACGCCCUCCGUCCGCCUCGUCCUCACCGGCGAGGACGCCAAGAACGGCGUCCCCUACCCCAGCUCCACAUGGACCCUAACCCUAGGCCUACCCAGCUAGCUUGCCAAGAAUGCCCGCCUCCUCUAGCCUAUCUGUUUGUUUGUGCUACCGGGCUCUGUUCUGAUCCAGUGGCAAAACAGAUGUUGGCUGAUGCCCGCUGUUCUAUAAUGCCUUAUUUUCUAUACUGUUGUUCUGAUCUAGUGGCAAAACAGAUGCUAACUCUGUCAUGUGACUAUCUUCUAAUACAGUAUCUUUAACUCCUGGGAAGCUUUCUCAGCCUUCUUGAUUUUCCCGGUUCUUCUCAUUUAGCUUGUCGAAGAGCUCAAUUGACUGGAAAUAAUACAACCUUAUUUGAUUUGUACUAUAUAAUUUCCUAGCCCUGCUUUUGUGUUUCCAUUACUGGUUGAGGAGUCUUGUUCCUUUCAUGCAACAUUUGUGAAUAUCUCUUUUAUUGUAGGCAGCUUUAAUAUGUCUACUAAUAGGCAGCUUAAAUAUGUCUGCCAUGCUGAUAUGUUCUUUUUUGAUAGCCUGCCGCUCCGAUUCUUGUUGGGGUGCACGAAUUACCUCCGUAUUGGGAUCCAGUUGUCACGCCUAAUUUCGGUAACGUACACAAGCCUUUUGGCCUCUUGUAGUCUUAUUCUUAUUUUUUGCUUGUUUAUUCUAGUUUGAGGCUCUUGUAGCUCUUGUAGUCUUAAAUGCAGUUCAUAUUUGUUGCUUCCUAAUUCUAGUUUUAGUGCCGAGAUGAACUCCGAGAUUAUCGAUCGAAUUAGGUUGAACUGCGACAAUAAUAACUGUUUACUGUUUAAUGAUCUAAACGUCUUUAUAUUUCUUUGUGCGGCAUUAUUUGUUUUCUGCUACUCUGAAUCUGUGUUGAAUCAUUUUAAUAGUAGUGAAUUUUGAUGGUUAUAUGAUUUUGCCUUGUCUUGCCAAAAAAAGAGGAUACAAAUGAUGUGGAUCCGAGAAAACUACCCUUGACCGUUUGAUUCAAGGGUAUAUAUAUAUAUAUAUAUGUCAAUUCAUGAUCAGCUCAACUAGAUUAGCUCUCGCGGCUGAUUGCUUUGUGCAAGACGUACUAUAUAGCAGCGAUUGCUUUUUUUCCUUGUAAGAAGUAUUAAUAUAUGGUUGUUGGUCGCUUCUGUAGUUUGCAUCAUUUUCAUGGAAUAUUAUUGUCCUUUGUCCUACCAUCCUGUCAAGUUAAACUUGAAUAAUCAAGAGAGCGUGGCCUUUGGUCUUGUUCCAGCUUCUAACGAGUAAAAUGAAUUUGUACAUGGAAAAUUUCUUUGCUACUCCAGAGUGUGUACACUGAAAAUUUGAUACCAUUGUACACUGAAAAUCAAGACUACAAAUUUGCCUGCUUGAUCUUGCUCCUUGCUUGCUUGCUGUUGGAACAAAUCAGGAGUAGUAUCGAACUUCAACAAAAUUGUUGAUCUUGUGUACAAAUGCCAUUAAAUCAGGAGUAGGAUUUUCUGUAGCUCCAAUAUAAAUUCAGUAUUGCUGUAGCUUCUUGCAGUACCAAGAUACUGUCAGUAGCAAGUAUUUGGCUGUGCAGUGUUAUCUGUAUUGCUUGUAUCAGUAGUAUCAUCUGUAUUGUUUGGAGUACUCAUGUUUGCUUGCUGCGCACCUACAAAAAGAAAAUGAAGAAAAAAUUAAAUUAAUGUUGUUUGCUGGAAACUUUGCUUUAAUAUAUACAGCUUGUUUCUUGCUAGUAGUACAAUGCUCCUACUACAAGUACAAUACUCCUUGCUUGUUCUAUUCCUGAAACUUGCUGUACUAUAGGCCUACUUAUGUUCCAGAAGGCACUCUAAUGUUCAUCUAGCAAAACUUAUAAUUAUGAGUUAUUCUGAAGGCACUCUAAUAUUCAUCUCUUUUUGUUUCAUAAGGUUCUCAAGCACCAGAAGAAGCAACAAUAAACAAGCUGGAGGGAUAACUUUCUCUCAGAUUCUCAAAGAUAGAUGAUCAUGACACCAAAAGAUGGAUAUAUCUGUAUGCGAAAUUAUAACUGAUCUUGAGCUAUUCCAGAAGUACUUGUGUUGUGUUAUAUUUGCUGCAAAAUUAUGUUGGGGCUGUCAUGAACUGUUGUUGCUGCGAAAGAUCAUGUUGUCAUGAUAAAUUAUGAUUCCUGGGAUUUGGGAUUCGAAGUCAUGUUGUUAUGAUAAAUUAUGAUGUUGUUGUGAUGAUAUAUUGAUAAUGCUGCUAAAUUAUUCCCCUGUAGCAGCUUUUCUCAUUUUUAUUAGGUGGCCUUUACAAUUCUGUAGCAAGGAUAUAAGGGAGUUAGUUACAUUGUAAAGAUUGAAUUUUUAGAUGUUCUACACCAUGUUAUGUCAAUCUGACAAACCCUGCCUACCAAACAGAAAUUUUAAACGAAGAGGAUUGGGGAUGGAGGGGUUUUGGGGAUUCAAGGGGUUUUGAGGGGAUUGGGUGGAAGGGAGGGAUUCACCAAAUCCUCCCAAAUCCCCGCCUCCGAAAUCCUCCCAAAUCCCUUUGUGCCAAACAAGGCCUAAGGGUUGUUGCUAUUUGUGGUGAUUAUGCAUGACCCAAGCU
rnacentral:lncRNA from 1 species